rnacentral:rRNA from 1 species
UACGUAGGGGGCUAGCGUUGUCCGGAUUUAUUGGGCGUAAAGAGCGUGUAGGCGGCCAGGUAGGUCUGGUGUGAAAACUCGAGGCUUAACCUCGAGAUGUCAUCGGAAACCAUCUGGCUAGAGUCCGGAAGAGGAGAGUGGAAUUCCUGGUGUAGCGGUGAAAUGCGCAGAUAUCAGGAAGAACGCCAAUGGCGAAAGCAGCUCUCUGGGACGGUGCUGACGCUGAGACGCGAAAGCGUGGGGAGCGAACAGG